rnacentral:misc_RNA from 1 species
UCAAACUUGGUCAUUUAGAGGAAGUAAAAGUCGUAACAAGGUUUCCGUAGGUGAACCUGCGGAAGGAUCAUUAAUGAAUUUGAAUUCCGUCAGAGUUGUUGCUGGUCUACUUUGUGGACAGGUGCACGCUCGACUCAAUUUAUAAAAACCACUUGUGAACCUUUUGUAGACUUUUGGAAAUUUAUCGAGUUUCGAAACAUUCGGAUAGACAGAUUGCCUUUUUGGCUCUCAGUCGAUUUUUCCAAGUCUAUGUCUUUAUAUAUGCGCAUAAUGUAUGUCAGUUGGGGCCUAUCAUAAUCAUAAAUACAACUUUCAACAACGGAUCUCUUGGCUCUCGCAUCGAUGAAGAACGCAGC